GGAGCUGUAGCUCAGCUGGUUAGAGUGCCUGCUUGUCACGCAGGAUGUCGCGGGUUCGAGUCCCGUCAGCUCCG
rnacentral:tRNA from 2 species